AUUGAACGCUGGCGGAAUGCUUUACACAUGCAAGUCGAACGGUAGAGGGGGCAACCCCUUGAGAGUGGCGAACGGGUGAGUAAUAUAUCGGAACGUGCCCAGUCGUGGGGGAUAACGUAGCGAAAGUUACGCUAAUACCGCAUACGAUCUAAGGAUGAAAGCGGGGGACCGUAAGGCCUCGCGCGAUUGGAGCGGCCGAUAUCAGAUUAGGUAGUUGGUGGGGUAAAGGCUCACCAAGCCAACGAUCUGUAGCUGGUCUGAGAGGACGACCAGCCACACUGGAACUGAGACACGGUCCAGACUCCUACGGGAGGCAGCAGUCGGGAAUUUUGCGCAAUGGGGGAAACCCUGACGCAGCAAUACCGCGUGUGGGAUGAAGGCCUUCGGGUCGUAAACCACUUUUCUCGGGGACGAUAAUGACGGUACCCGAGGAAUAAGCCACGGCUAACUACGUG
rnacentral:rRNA from 1 species